rnacentral:lncRNA from 1 species
AUCAUCACAAGAGUUGUUUAUCAUUCAUGCAUCAGACUGGUAUAUUAAAAUUAGAACUUCAACGACAACGACAAUGACCCGAUCCUUCGAAAAAUGAAUGCAGUAUGAACAAAAAUAUAAAAAUAAUAUCAACUAUCCAGCUAGGAGUUACCUUCCACAAAUCCAUAUUCAGUAUUCACAAAUGAAGUCUCCAUAACAAACCACUAAAAACCUACUCAUGCAUUUAAAUAGAGAUAUAUAAGAAGAAAUUAGCAUCAACUGGCAAAAUAAAAUAAAAUAAACUAUCUUUUAAAUCCAUCAAUGCCACAUGCUUUCUUUUUUCUCCAAGUAAAAGGCAAAGGUUUUGACUCAAAAAAGUAGAAAAAGAGGGAAUAAAUUGCAUCAAAGGAUCAUACCAAACUCCGGGCUUUAAGACCUAAUCUAGAGUCCACCACCUUGCCCUUGAAGUCAAAUCCACCAACUGGGCUCUGACCAUUCAAAGCAUAGUUCGCCGAACCAGAUCGAACCGCCCGAUUCGGCCCAUAUCAAGUUGAAUCGGCAUAGAAACGGGAUGAUUUGGCCCUGAUUUUCAAAUCAGGGCCCGAACCUAUCUGAACUGGGCUGAACUGCAAGGUUUGGUACAGGUCGGUUCGGUCCUAUUCUUUUUUUUGUUUUUCUGUUGUGCUAUAGUUUUUUUUUUCUUUUUGUUGUUGCUACAAUAUCGAUGGGUGGGGAGGGUUUAAAUGAAGCUAUAAAUUGAACAAAAGUCAGAGACUUCUUUUCCUCGAUGCUUCCUCGUUGAAACAUCAAUUUCCUUCCCUAUCUAUAAUUCAAAUGGCAAGCAAAACGUAGAGAACU